UAUCCCCGGGGGGAACUAGCAUAUCAAUAAGCGGAGGAAAAGAAACCAACAGGGAUUGCCCUAGUAACGGCGAGUGAAGCGGCAACAGCUCAAAUUUGAAAUCUGGCUCUUUUAGAGUCCGAGUUGUAAUUUGCAGAGGGCGCUUUGGCUUUGGCAGCGGUCCAAGUUCCUUGGAACAGGACGUCACAGAGGGUGAGAAUCCCGUACGUGGUCGCUGGCUAUUGCCGUGUAAAGCCCCUUCGACGAGUCGAGUUGUUUGGGAAUGCAGCUCUAAAUGGGAGGUACAUUUCUUCUAAAGCUAAAUAUUGGCCAGAGACCGAUAGCGCACAAGUAGAGUGAUCGAAAGAUGAAAAGCACUUUGGAAAGAGAGUCAAACAGCACGUGAAAUUGUUGAAAGGGAAGCGCUUGCAGCCAGACUUGCUUACAGUUGCUCAUCCGGGUUUCUACCCGGUGCACUCUUCUGUAGGCAGGCCAGCAUCAGUUUGGGCGGUAGGAUAAAGGUCUCUGUCACGUACCUCCUUUCGGGGAGGCCUUAUAGGGGAGACGACAUACUACCAGCCUGGACUGAGGUCCGCGCAUCUGCUAGGAUGCUGGCGUAAUGGCUGUAAGCGGCCCGUCUUGAAACACGGACCAAGGAGUCUAACAUCUAUGCGAGUGUUUGGGUGUCAAGCCCGAGCGCGUAAUGAAAGUGAACGGAGGUGGGAACCCGCAAGGGUGCACCAUCGACCGAUCCUGAUGUCUUCGGAAGGAUUUGAGUAAGAGCAUGGCUGUUGGGACCCGAAAGAUGGUGAACUAUGCUUGAAUAGGGUGAAGCCAGAGGAAACUCUGGUGGAGGCUCGCAGCGGUUCUGACGUGCAAAUCGAUCGUCAAAUUUGGGCAUAGGGGCGAAAGACUAAUCGAACUAUCUAGUAGCUGGUUCCUGCCGAAUUUCCCCUCCCAAGAAA
rnacentral:rRNA from 1 species